CCAGACCUCUCUCUCCUUGGGGACCCCUGGACUUCUUAUCAACCUACCUAGGAAAUGACGCUCUCAGUGCCAAGAGAGAAGUGGACCCGUUGCUCUGUAUGCAGACUCACGUCAGCCACAGACACUGAGAACAUUGCCAUAGUCAGGCUGUAAAGACUGACCCUUUCUUCGUGUCCCAACUGAAUUCCAAGGAGAAAUAUGAGUGGGCAAGUGGCAUCAACAUUGGGCCCUACAGGUCAAGAUUCCUCCCAGCUGGAUGAACCUGUGGUUGACCAGCAGCCCAGUGUUGAGCAACCUGAACAAGAGGAAGCACCAGCUGAGAUUCAGGAUAUCACACCUGGAAAGGAGGAAGUCAGUGGAGAGGAUCCAGUGAAUCAUGAUGAAGAGAAGGAGAAGGAUGCCCCUGGAGUGUAUGCUUUACAGCUGAAUUGAUUCAUUUUUUAAAAAAUUCUGACCUGGAAACUGAUCUCCGGGAAUCGGCUGUGGCAAAGACUGGGGGUCAAGGCAGAGAUGGUCCCGAUGUCAAGGAGGAGAUUGCAUCAAAUACAGAGCCUGUUGAAAUGCCAGAAGCAGGUGAAGGGGAACCAGUUGCUUGAAAGAAGAUAAACUGAAACUAUCUAUGCUGUUCUUAUGCUGUAUAUUUGACUGUUAAAGCUGUCAGUAAAAAGUUUC